rnacentral:tRNA from 1 species
AGGGGUAUAGCUCAGUUGGUAGAGCAACGGUCUCCAAAACCGUGUGUCGAGGGUUCAAAUCCUUCUGCCCCUGCCA